rnacentral:rRNA from 1 species
AUGAUUCAGUUGUUUUGGUUCAGUUUGAAGGGCACUCCAGGCUUAAGAUCUUUAGUUUCAUUAGAACUACCAAUUACUUUGCUUAGCUGCCUUGCCGCUGGUGGCAGGUUUUACUUUGUGAGGUGUACACAUGAAUCUAUGAUCCAGAUUCUAGCUACACCCUUUACUACAACGAUCUCAAGCUUUACUGAAAAGUGUACUGUUUAUAUAGUUGAUAUCUUUAAUUCAUAUGGUCGUCCGCUGGAUGAUCACUGGUCUUCGGUUCAUACGGUGACUGGCUGGAAGCUUGCUGUUAUGUUUGGUUCAUAUGGUGGUCGACUGGAAGCUCGCAGUCUGAAUGAUCUCAUUGUCUAUGGCCGCCAAUACACACUUUUCAUUACUACCAGCCAGUUGAUCCAGGAGGUUCUUGGUUGCUUGGGGUUCACGGGCCAUCAUGAUGAUAUACUUGGUUCUUUAAAGAAGAAUGAGAGAUUGAACCUAGGUGUCUUGCUUGCUGGUUUGCAGGAGGCCCCCCUGUCUGCUGUCAAAUGUGGAACGCCUUUAUGUCCUGAUCAUGUGAAAAGGUACCCUGUUGCAGUUUCUCUGUCUUCACGAAUUACUAUCGAACUAGAUGGAUUACAAUUACUUGACACACACACCCACACCCGGGCACAAGAUGGCGUGAGCGGCAACGGCAACAUGCACGGUGCACAAAGUUCGGUAUGCCUCGGAGCACGCCGGCGGCAACAUGCACUGCGAGGCCCAAAGCAACCCAGCCAGUACAGAGCCCCUCCGUACAUGAGGAACCCUGCCACCGAGGGAGCAAGCAACGGCGACGCGUAUGAGAGCUCAGCCAUGGUGGCCCGCGCGCCGUACGGGAGGAUCACGUUCGUGCUAGAGGGAAGCAACGAGCACAUCGGCGGCAAAAGGAGGUGUCCAGGAUCUGCACCGACACAAGAUUUUGAGGAGCGGCACGAGCAUCAAGCAAUGGUUGAUGCCAAGGUGAGCUUCCCCUCCGCUCCUGACCGCUCCCUCUCUCUCUCUCAAUAA